CUCACUGGCGAGAUCGAGAAAAUGUAUCGGCAAUUCCUCGUACGACCAGAGGAUCGGAAAUAUCAAAGGAUAUUAUGGCGCAGCGCGAGUGGAGAAACAGAAACAUAUGAGCUUAACACCGUAAUACUCUUAUCAUAGAAAUAGAAGCAGUCCUCAAUUCCCGCCCGCUAACUCCUAUCUCCACCGAUCCAAAUGAUCUCCUAGCCCUCACUCCCGGACAUUUCCUCAUUGGCGAUUCAUUAAUGUGCUUACGUGAUCGAGAUUUCAGAGACAUUCCAUCGAACCGACUCUCCAAAUGGCAGCAUAUCCAACAGCUUAAACAACAUUUUUGGAACCGCUGGCAUAAGGAGUAUUUGAACGAGCUAACCAACCGCAAUAAAUGGAGCAAGGGUGGACACAGCAUCCAAAAGGGCACAAUCGUCAUCCUCAGAGAGGACAACGUUCCCUCCAUGCAUUGGCCUCUGGGCCGAGUUAUCAAGGUUCAUUCAGGCGCCGAUGGUGUCAUCCGGACAGCUACAGUUCAGACGGCAAAGAGCAUUUUGGAUCGGGGCGUCAAAAGGCUUGUCCCACUGCCAAUUCAACCCGAUCUCGAGAAACCCGAACAACUAGCCACCGAGCCGAAAUAAGAUGGGAACUUCAACCACACCUCGCUAGUUUGAUCGGUACCCUCUCAACGGGGGGAGAAUGUUACGCCAUGCGGCUUACCAUAGGUCAUAUUCUUAACUAUCGAUCGCGGCACUAUAAUGUCGCAGACGGAUCGUCGCGUCUGCCCGGCAAACAAACAUUGUAGUGGCAAGCGCAUGGUUCAUUAAGCAGGGCGACUUCCAGAAACGUCGACUCGUGGCCCGUAUUUUACCUCGCAGUAAAAGAAUGUGGCGUGAUCCGAACGUAGUGGGGGUCGCCUUCCAGAAAAAACGAAAAAAAUCGAAAGGCGUUCAGAACUUUUCGAGAAGUCGAACCGUCAACACAUGUGGGCAAUCCGGUGGACUUGAUCGGCUUUUUACUUCGAAAGUUGAGUAAUCGGUGUCGCUUUCUUACGCAUCUUUGAACUGUAUAAAUGUUUUAAAAUUGUUUGAUCCAGAAUGUACCACACCGGACAAUCAAGAAGGCAGGUGCCUUGACUACAGAAAAUGUAAACCUCUGCAAGAAAUAUGGCAGAUACAGUACCGUACAGCCACCGAUUUUUAUAGACGAUCAGUGUGCAGAUACCAGGUCAAUGUUACGAUCGUUUGCUGUCCGAACGAUCCAAACAAAGAGAAGAGAGAAAUUUUAAUAAAAACUGUGUAUAAGUAUAAGGCUUUGCGACCACCAUACUGUGGUUUUAGCAACGUCUCUCAUACCAGGGUGGUCGAUGGUAAACCAGCUGAACUUGGAAGAGUAUCUUUUUGCUUGAAAUAAAAAAUUGAUAUAGGAGUAAUAAUAUGGAUAGAGAUCAAAAACUGUUAGGGCAGAAAUUACACGUUUGAACUUUAUAGUUCAGUAUAGUUCAAAUAGAAAUUAUAUAGAAUUAUUUAAUAAUUUGUAUUCCACUGGAAUAAAAAUUUAAUUUCUGUCUUUAUCAAAUCUCUAUUUCAGAGUAUUUGUACGUAUGUACUUAUCGUCUGCUGUAUGAUCGAAUAUCGAAUAGGUAAUAAUCGUUGUUACUCGUUAUGUGAGAAAAAAUUAUGUAUAUUCACAACUAUGACUAUUGCAUUUUAGGCGCUUGGCCAUGGAUCGCUGCAUUAGGUUUUCGUAAUCCCCGAAACCCAGACAAACCACUAUGGAAGUGCGGAGGUUCCCUGAUAUCGGCUAGGCAUGUUUUGACCGCAGCACAUUGUGCACAUAUGGAUGGAAUAGAAAACAUACACAAUCAUAAUAUUGCCAUUCUUAGAUAGGUGGAGGAGGUGCCAUUUUCGAGGUACGUAUAUCCCAUUUGUACGAAAGAGCAACUUCGUCGGCUAUAACCCCCUUGUUGCUGGAUGGGGAGCGUUAAGAUAUAGCAAGUGAUAUCAAUUUUAUAAUAAAAUUAAACAGUUCCAGUCUUAAAUAUCUUUCUCAUUUUCUUCGUAGGACGACCACGACCUAAUGCAUUAAUGGAAGUACAAAUGCCAGUGAUUAAGAACGCCGAAUGCAAAAUAGCUUAUUCCAAAUUUCCUAAUGCACCUGAUAUCACUGAUGGUAUAAUAUGCGCCGAACAUGCUCAGGGUGGAGAGGAUUCUUGUACGGCUGACCGUGGCGGACCACUGCUGAUACAACAUGAAUUAACCUCGUAUUUAAUAGGUAUUGUGUCUUAUGCUUAUAAGUGUGGCACAGCUGGGUAUCCCAGCGUUUACACUAGGGUCACAUCGUACCUUGACUUCAUUCUCCAAGCGAUGCAAUAAUAUGAUAUUACUGUUCCAUAAAUAUCAUUGUGUAAAAAACGUAAAGUUGGAUUUUCUUAUUGUGGAGAUAAGAAACAGCUCAAAUUUACAUUGUUUUGUACGUUACAAAUUAUAGGCUUAAAAUGUACGAAAUGUAACUUUGAAACGACACUAAUUUUUUACGCACGAUAAACCUCCACGACUUAGAUUAUAGAUUCCUAUACGACUCUCAGUAAAAAUUUAUCCGCACUCCAGAUAUAUAAAACUUCUGUCGACCGUAUUGAUCCAUCUGCACUCUUCGUAUGACGUCAAUAUCUGUUCAGUGCUGCUGCGCAGGUUUCUUUGUGUUACGUCAAUUCGUUUGUGACCGUUGCGCGAGUAAUGGCGCUUUGCAAUGGUGAUUUGCAGGAAAACAGUGCAGGAUGCUGUGAUUCGUUUCUUGUGGUCGGAGGUUAUGUUUGAUGCCUAUAUUUAUCAAAGAUUUAAUGCACAUUAUGGAGAAAGUGUUUUGUCACGAAGUGUGUUUGAAUGGGCACAAAAGUUCAAAGAAGAUCGCACAAGUGUUAUGAAAAAACAGCUGGACGCCCGUCCACAUCCACGAUGACAACAUUGAACGUGCUCAUGAACUUAUGCUCUAUGGAAUAGACGAGUGACACUGGAUAAUGUGGCAAAUCAUUUGCAAAUCAGCCACGGCUCUGCUUAUGCAAUAGUGCACGACAGAUUUGGAUUUUAAAAAGUUUGUGCGAGAUGGAUGCCGAAAAAGCUGAUGAAAAGGUGAAGACGACGAUGCAUUCGUGGUUCGCAGCUCAGCCCAAAACAUUUUUUAAUGAGAAAAUAUAAAGGUCCUUCGGCAAAUGGACAAAGUGUAUACAGAAAUCGAGUGAUUAUGUCAAAAAAUGAUGUAUGUCUUUUUUGACAAUUGCUUAAAAUAAAUUCUACACCGACAGAGCGGGCUGUUAAUCUAGAGGCUGGAGUACAAAGAAGUGGCACAAUGAUGUGGGCUGAUGACAUUUAUAAUUAUCAAGGAAUCACCCCUACAUUCGCUCAGAAUUUUAAUGAAACUGUCCCUUGGGAAGGAAGAACUGAUACCUUGAUAUCACGGUUUGUACAUCCUAUAUAUACGACAAAUUUUAGAACAUUAUAUAACGAAGAACCAGAUCGUCGUGGCCAUGUGAUGUGAAUAAAAGGACUUGAAUUUGAUGAUAUUUUUAUAAUGUUAGAUAACAUAACUAAGUAUCUUCACAGUAAGAUAGGAUGACAUGGUUUACAUGAUCUUAAUGUUGUUCACUCGAGUGAUGAUAUUAUAAGGAAAAGUGUAAUAUCACAGGAUAUUUAUGUUUAGUAACCAGUAAUUCAGAGAUUGGUAUUCAUGGUUACUAUAACGAGGCUGUAGAAACGCACCCUUUCUUCUUUGCAAAUGGUCCUGUAUUUAUGUCUAAGCCGAAACUGGAACCUCUGAAUAAUUUAGAUUUAUUCUUGUUAUUUUCUAAAAUACUUAUCUACAGUAUACCAUAAGGAAUGAUACCGUAUCGCACCUAAUCAAGUGCCUUAAGAAACAUCAACAGGAUAUCACAGUAAUCCCUUAUCGACUGAUAUUUGUAGCCACUACAAUAUCUAUGACACUGGUAGUAAUUAUGAGAACAAUAAUGAUGUGUUCUAUAAGAGGAAAUGAUGAUUAGGAACAAAAACUUACAGGAGAUAUCAUGCGGUGGAUGGAUAAUAUGUAAAAAAUAUUAAGCAGCAUAUGAAUUUUCAUAUUGCGUAGAGAUAACAAAAUGAAUUUUAAAAAAUGUCGACACGGUAAUAAGAAAUAGCAUCAUGACAAAGAAUAUAUAAAGACAGUUUCAUUUUUUAUAAAUAAAAAUUUGUUGUUCCAGAUUUUGAAA